AACGAACGCUGGCGGCAUGCCUAACACAUGCAAGUCGAACGAGACCUUCGGGUCUAGUGGCGCACGGGUGCGUAACGCGUGGUAACCUGCCCUUAGGUUCGGAAUAACUCCCCGAAAGGGGUGCUAAUACCGGAUAAUGUCUUCGGACCAAAGAUUUAUCGCCUUUGGAUGGGCCCGCGUUGGAUUAGCUAGUUGGUAGGGUAAAAGCCUACCAAGGCGACGAUCCAUAGCUGGUCUGAGAGGAUGAUCAGCCACACUGGGACUGAGACACGGCUCAGACUACUACGGGAGGAAGCAGUGGGGAAUAUUGGAAAAUGGGCGAAAGCCUGAUACAGCAAUGCCGCGUGAGUGAUGAAGGCCUUAGGGUUGUAAAGCUCUUUUACCCGGGAUGAUAAUGACAGUACCGGGAGAAUAAGCUCCGGCUAACUCCGUG
rnacentral:rRNA from 1 species